UAAGGGACAUUUGGAGACUGCCAUGGGGAUGGGAGGUGCCUAACCUGGAUGGGUUUCUGACACUGUGACCUAGAGCCCAGUGACUGAGAAGUUUCCUCCAGACGCCUCCUCGUCUUCUAGAAGCAUCUAUUCAUUCUCAACCCUCUGGACAGAGGAUAAAGUUGACACUCCAAGGACAACAUGUCCCAAGAGGCGGAAUCAGCUCUCAAUCUCAGGCCACUUCCAAGCCUCGCCUGAGAGCAUGAUGCUGCUUCCUUAAGAUCUGCUGCCCGCAGGGCUCAUCCAGCAUCCACAUACGAAAUGACCACGGGUGGAGCGCCUGUGCGUUUGGUUCUCUGCUGUUGGAACGUGUCACCUACCAUUUGAAGGUCCACCCAACGGACUCCUCUCAGAGCCAAGAACACACAUGUCUCUCCUGAUGUGCUGGAGGGGCAGUUUCUACUACAGAGCUAAGCCCUAGGGCAGAGGCUUCUGAGCAACUAAUCAUCCCUCCCUUCUCUGCCUCUACGCCUUGGACAUGGUUCCACUGAUCGCACUUAGUGUCCUGAAAUAUAAUGAUCUGUUUACAUGUUGGUCCCCUCACUGGAGUUCAUGGGCAAGUACAUGUCUUUUCAUCUUAUAUUCCCAGUGUCCAACAGUGAAAUUUUUUUAAUUAUAGUUGACUUACAAUAUUAUAUUAGUUUCAGGUGUACAACAUAGUAAUUCAAUAUUUUUACAGAUUAUACUCCAUUUAAAGUUAUUAUAAAAUAUUAGCUGUAUUCCCUGUGCUGUACAAUAUAUCCUUGUAGCUUAUUAAUUUUAUACAUAGGAGUUUGUACCUCUUAAUCCCCUGCCCUU